rfam:Ictidomys tridecemlineatus contig076872, whole genome shotgun sequence.
AGGGUUGUGGCUCAGGGGUAGAGCGCUUACCUAGCAGGUGUGAGGCACUGGGUUCGAUCCCUAGCAGCACAU